rnacentral:rRNA from 1 species
AGGACGAACGCUGGCGGCGUGCUUAACACAUGCAAGUGGAGCGACGAACCAGGGCUUGCCCUGGGGCAGAGCCGCGAACGGGUGAGUAACACGUGGGUUACCUGCCUCGAUGACCGGGACAACCCGAGGAAACUCGGGCUAAUACCGGAUGUGCCCGCAAGGGGAAAGGAAGCUUCGGCCUCCGCAUCGAGAUGGGCCCGCGGCCCAUUAGCUUGUUGGUGAGGUAACGGCUCACCAAGGCUUCGAUGGGUAGCUGGUCUGAGAGGACGAUCAGCCACACUGGGACUGAGACACGGCCCAGACUCCUACGGGAGGCAGCAGUGGGGAAUCUUGCGCAAUGCGCGAAAGCGUGACGCAGCAACGCCGCGUGGGGGAAGAAGGCUUUCGGGUUGUAAACCCCUUUCAGUUGGGACGAAGCUUCGCCGGUGAAUAGCCGGCCGGAGUGACGGUACCUUCACAAGAAGCACCGGCUAACUACGUGCCAGCAGCCGC